UUUCAGUCGCCUGUAAAUUCGCACUUCGACACACACAGACGAACCUGAAGCUAUUUCCAAGUAAUAUCAUGCACCAAACAUGUUUAUGUGAAAUACUCCGGUUUUUAAAACUACGUCAAACGCGUCAAAGUCGCCGCAUUAGCACACUGUUCGAACGUGCACUGUUUUGUUGUUCCCGUGUUAAAAAUGUGGUUCCGCUUUCACGAUUCAUCCUGCAAGAUUUGCUCAUGUGUUUAUGCCCAAUUCACAGGGACCAAGGUUGAGCUUGUUUGGUUUCACAAACAUAUAUAAUAACUUUCAGGUUGAUCAUCUUGAAGAUCUUCAAACAUGAUCCUUCCCCCUCUCUGUCAGCCCCUAUGCACAUCGCACGAUCGGAGCUGAGGGACAAACCAUGCGAAACAGUGACAUCAGGUUUCCAGGAGCCACAGCUGACCCCAGGCCUUAAGAAGGACACGUAGUGAAAACAACAAAUGUCAAGUCAGGGGGAACAUGCAAUGGGAAGGGAUGUGGCCUACAUGGCAUUACAGCACCAGGGGCUGCUGUUGCCCAACAGGGAUUUCCCUUCCAUCAGAGACGCUGAUCAACAAGGUUAUUUUCCCUGACAGCGAGCAGAGCCUGCUGGCUAAAGAAGAGGAAGGUUGAUUAUGUGACGGAUCUCAAAGCGAAACAUCUGCAUUCACAUGGAACAUUUUUAUCUGUACAAAUUAAGAAAUAACUGCAGGUAUGUAUUGCAACUUUGUUUAAUGCAGGACUCAUUUUAGUGAUGUUUCUGCAAUAUGCCAACGUCCUAUAUUUGCCAUGCAUUUACAUUUACUGUCAAAUAAAUCUGCAUCUCUUUGUGCUUCAGAAUAACAUGAUGUGCUGUAUCUGCCUGUCUGUCCAUCUGUCUGUGUGAAAAUGGCCCCAGUCGCCAUUUUCAAAGGAGGUCAGUCUGUAAGGGAAAAAAUUUUAGGUCUCUCUCUUUCUCUCUCUCUCUCUCUCACAGACUGAGGGAGGGUUAUUGUCUCUCUUGUCUGACAUCAGUAGGAUGUGAUCUCUGUCUUAGCAUGUGUGAGGAGACAAAAACAACAUGAGUAGUCUGUUCCCUUCCAGAAUUUACUGGGCCAACAACGUCCUGAUGAGGAUUGAUAUUGUUAACCCUGAAAAAUCCCUUACAGCAGAACAUACUGUUCCUGUAACUUACUCCAAUCCUCCAUCGAAAAAAAAAAAAAAAAAAUAUUGUCUCUUGAAUUUGAGACAUUUGCACGGAUGGCGUCAUAAAAAUGAUCUGAUAUCCGUCUAUCAAUUUAAAACAGAGUUUGCUUUAAAGGUUUGGCAUUUCAGAGACAUGCCUUGUGUUUCUUUAGACGAUAUAUAUAUAUAUAUAUAUAUAUAUGCCUUUAUGAGUUAUUAACCAUUGAGGUGUUAUUUUAAUAUUUCACAGUAACAAACUUCCCCUGUCUAUGAUAUUUGACACACACCAGCAGUUUCCAUCCUCUGCUGCUUGUGAGUUUUACCUCUUGUGAGCCCCCACCUACUGUAUUUGAAGUGCAGUACUAAAUCACUGCUCUGCACUAAGGUCAAGUCAGCCAUCACUUUACGCUCCUAGAUGUGAAGUGCCCCGAUAUUCUCUCCUUUAUGUCAGUUCUACUCAAAUACUCAACAUAUAUGCAGUCAAACAUCCAGUUUUCAAAAUAAAGUCUGAACAAAAGCAAACAUAA